rnacentral:lncRNA from 1 species
CCAAAUCGCCAAUGUUCACAUUAAUAGUCCACAGGAUUUGGGAAAUCUCCAACACCUUAAGGUACAACCACAAGGGUACAGUUCUACCCAAGUCACACUGUCACAUGUUGGAUUGUCAAACACAGAGGAAGAUACAUUUGAUAUUAGAGUAAAUUAGGCAUACGAUGACCUAAAAAGGAAAGGGUAUAAAGCCAUUGGAACACGCCCAUGAAAGACUCUAAAGUCAAAAUGUGUUAAGGAAUACAGCAACAGCUUACUUAUUAGAAACAAAAUCAUGGUAAAUAAGACGACUCCAACUGCAGCAUAAAGU